rnacentral:rRNA from 1 species
GCCAAGUCUCUUGCCGUCUGCCGGCCCUUUAGCGUUACCGCAAAGCACGUAUUUGUUGCCGUAUUUACUGAGCUAGUGCCUUUGAAAAGAAAAAGAGANGACAACUUUUGACGGUGGAUCUCUUGGCUCGCGCAUCGAUGAAGAACGCAGCCAGCUGCGAUAAGUAGUGUGAAUUGCAGAAUUCAGUGAAUCAUCGAAUCUUUGAACGCAAAUGGCGCUCUUGGGUUCUCCCAGGAGCAUGUCUGUCUGAGUGUCGGAUUGUACNCCAUCGCGGUUGGACCGUUUCCACGGCAGCCGCGGCGUUGAGGCGACACGACGCGUUCCCAGGUUGGUCGUGUCUCUCGAAACCGAGCGUAGCCCCGUUGCCGCAGCGGUCGCGUCCGACUCUGUCCGCCAAAAAGGGGAGGCUUAAGGCUGACCUUUCCCUGGACGGAGGAGGUCCGACGUGGCGAGGGACGGAGGCCAACGAGAGAGAAAGAGAAAGAGAGCAAAGGCAGUGAAAAGGCAUCUUGACCUCAGAUCAGGCAAGG